AGGGAAAUAGCUCAGUGGUAGAGCUCAUGCUCAGCAUGCACGAGGUCCUGGGUUCAAUCCCCAGUAUCUUCA
rnacentral:tRNA from 1 species